rnacentral:misc_RNA from 1 species
ACUUGUACCAACAUUCCAGGCCCUAACAGCUAAGGGCUUCCUUCUUGUACUGGUAAUGGUAGCUUUCCCAUCAGUGGUAAUGACAGGUAACAGAAGCUGCUUGUGGAUGAAAGUGUGACUCGAGAAGCAGAGGGGGCUUGUUGAUUGAGAUGCUGCUACACAUGUUAAACCUCUCUCCAUUUACAGUGUCCGUAAUUGGUUUGAUUGAUGAGGGUCCUCGUAGAAAAUUUCCUUCCUCUUAUUAUCUCUUUCCUCGGCAAAUG